rnacentral:rRNA from 1 species
AAAAACAUCUUUUCUCGUUAGUUUUUGAAGUAUGGCCUGCCCACUGACGUGUUGUUGAAGGGCCGCGGUAUUUUGACCGUGCAAAGGUAGCAUAAUCAUUAGUUCUUUAAUUGUGAUCUGGUAUGAAUGGCUUGACGAGACAUAAGCUGUCUUAGAAGUAUUGUUUAUUGAAUUUGGUUUUUGAGUUAAAAUUCUUAAAUGUUUUUAUGGGACGAGAAGACCCUAUAGAGUUUAACAUUCUUCCUAUUUGUUUUUUGUUUGUUUUAUGCUUGUUGAGUGGGAAUAUUGUUUUGUUGGGGUGAUGGGAGGAAUUAAUUUAACUCCUCUUUGUUUUUGUAUAUUUAUAUAUAUCUUUUUG